rnacentral:rRNA from 1 species
AAUAGAUACCCUGGUAGUCCACGCUGUAAACGAUGAUUACUAGGUGUCCGGGAUGUUAACCUCCUGGGUACCGUAGCUCACGCAUUAAGUAAUCCGCCUGGGGAGUACGGUGGCAACACUAAAACUCAAAGGAAUUGACGGGGGCCCGCACAAGCGGUGGAGUAUGUGGUUUAAUUCGAAGCAACGCGCAGAACCUUACCUGGGCUUAACAUCCCACGACAUCCUCAGAGAUGAGGCUUUCCCUUCGGGGACGUGGAGAUAGGUGCUGCAUGGCUGUCGUCAGCUCGUGUUGUGAAAUGUUGGGUUAAGUCCCGCAACGAGCGCAACCCUUGCCCUUAGUUGCCACCAUUAAGUUGGGCACUCUGAGGGGACCGCCGGUGUUAAACCGGAGGAAGGCGGGGAUGACGUCAAGUCCUCAUGGCCCUUACGUCCAGGGCUACACACGUACUACAAUGGCAGAGACAAAGGGUAGCGAAGCAGUGAUGUGAAGCCAAUCCCAAAAACACUGUCUCAGUCCGGAUUGAAGUCUGCAACUCGACUUCA